UUUUUUAAUUGAAAACUGGAAUGAACGGUAGAUACUGAUGGGAUUGUUUUAUUUUAUGAAUUUGAAUUUAGAUUAAAAUUAAAAAUAUUUUUAUAAAUUCUUGGGACGAGAAGACCCUAGAAGCUUAAAAUUUAAUAAUUUUUAAUUGGGGCAAUUUUUGAAGAAAAAAAUUUUUGAUAAGUAAAAGAUAUUUCAUAUUAGUUACUCUAGGGAUAACAGCGUAAUUUAAUUGGUAAGUUCUUAUUAAUAAUAAAGUUUGCGACCUCGAUGUUGAAUUAAUU
rnacentral:rRNA from 1 species